GACGAACGCUGGCGGCGUGCCUAACACAUGCAAGUCGAACGAGAUCCAUGGGAGCUUGCUCCCGGAAGAUCUAGUGGCGAACGGGUGAGUAACACGUGAGAAACCUGCCCUGGAGUGGGGAAUAACUCGGGGAAACUCGAGCUAAUACCGCAUACCCUCGGAUGGUCGCAUGGCCGACCGAGGAAAAGAUUUAUCGCUCUAGGAGGGUCUCGCGGCCUAUCAGCUAGUUGGUGGGGUAACGGCCUACCAAGGCAACGACGGGUAGCUGGUUUGAGAGAACGAUCAGCCACACUGGGACUGAGACACGGCCCAGACUCCUACGGGAGGCAGCAGUGGGGAAUCUUGCGCAAUGGGCGGAAAGCCUGACGCAGCAACGCCGCGUGCGGGAUGACGGCCUCGUGGUGUAACGCUUCUAGCAGGGACGAAAAGUAGACGGU
rnacentral:rRNA from 1 species